rnacentral:rRNA from 1 species
GAUGAACGCUGGCGGCGUGCCUAAUACAUGCAAGUCGAGCGAAUGGAUUAAGAGCUUGCUCUUAUGAAGUUAGCGGCGGACGGGUGAGUAACACGUGGGUAACCUGCCCAUAAGACUGGGAUAACUCCGGGAAACCGGGGCUAAUACCGGAUAACAUUUUGAACCGCAUGGUUCGAAAUUGAAAGGCGGCUUCGGCUGUCACUUAUGGAUGGACCCGCGUCGCAUUAGCUAGUUGGUGAGGUAACGGCUCACCAAGGCAACGAUGCGUAGCCGAACUGAGAGGGUGAUCGGCCACACUGGGACUGAGACACGGCCCAGACUCCUACGGGGGGCAGCAGUAGGGGAUCUUCCGCAAUGGACGAAAGUCUGACGGAGCAACGCCGCGUGAGUGAUGAAGGCUUUCGGGUCGUAAAACUCUGUUGUUAGGGAAGAACAAGUGCUAGUUGAAUAAGCUGGCACCUUGACGGUACCUAACCAGAAAGCCACGGCUAACUACGUGCCAGCCGCCGCCGUAA